rnacentral:rRNA from 1 species
UACGAAGGGUGCUAGCGUUGCUCGGAAUUACUGGGCGUAAAGCGCACGUAGGCGGGUUGUUAAGUCGGGGGUGAAAUCCUGGAGCUCAACUCCAGAACUGCCUUCGAAACUGGCGAUCUUGAGUACGGGAGAGGUGAGUGGAACUGCGAGUGUAGAGGUGAAAUUCGUAGAUAUUCGGAAGAACACCAGUGGCGAAGGCGGCUCACUGGACCGGUACUGACGCUGAGGUGCGAAAGCGUGGGGAGCAAACAGG